rnacentral:rRNA from 1 species
UACGUAGGGGGCAAGCGUUGUCCGGAUUUAUUGGGCGUAAAGAGCGUGUAGGCGGCUGGGUAGGUCCGUUGUGAAAACUCGAGGCUCAACCUCGAGACGUCGAUGGAAACCAUCUGGCUAGAGUCCGGAAGAGGAGAGUGGAAUUCCUGGUGUAGCGGUGAAAUGCGCAGAUAUCAGGAAGAACACCCGUGGCGAAGGCGGCUCUCUGGUACGUGACUGACGCUGAGACGCGAAAGCGUGGGGAGCGAACAGG